UUCCGGGCGCGCUCUCUCCCUGCACAACGCAGCAGUGUCACACCGCAAGUUACCAGAGAAGCCACCCCGGUCGCCCGCGGAACGGGGCGGAUUGGUUUGGCACUGGAGUUCGUGCCAGGCCCAGGAAAUGCCAUCUUUGCAAUCUGAAGGGGAAUUCGCCCCGGGUGGCUGAGCUUCGGGGACCGCGGAGAGCUGGAUCCCCGCAGCGGUGCGCCCCCUCUGCCGGGCUGCGGAUACCUCGGCGCCAAGCCCAGGGCUCGGCCAGACUGGAGCGCACGCCCACGCCCGCGCCGCUGCGUCCAGAACGCCCAGCCUUUUGCCGCCCACGCCCGCGCCCCGCCCCAGCCCCGCCAGGUGAUCCGGGCCUGCGCCCCCCGGAUGCCCGACGUGGCGCGGAGACCUGGGGCUACCAGCUCAACCGCUAGUCCUCCCGCGUGUCCGCCGAGCCCCGGACCGGGUGGGGGUUGGGUAAGCCCCGCGUGUCCGCGAUCGCAGCAGCCCGCGCUCCGACCCUCCCCGCAGAGGACCCAGUCUCCCAUACCUGCAGCAUCCGGGGGCGCGGGGCGCCCAGGUAGUGCACCGCUGCAGGCGCCGCCAGAACCUCGCGUCCGGGGAAUUCCUACAGAGCCCGGAGUCCUAGGGGUUGCACUGUCCUGGCCCCGCCUAGGAUCGCACGCAAAACCUGGAGCUCGGGCGCCAGGGCAGCACUUUUCGGAGUGGCGGGGAGAGCACUGGGCAUGCUCGGAGCCAUGGGAGCCCAGCGUCCGGAAGGAAGAACCCCCAGAGGGAUUGGCGAAGCUGCCCACUGAGUCCCACCUGGCCGUCAGUCUUCUACUUCCCUGCAGGGAGUACUGGGUCACCCUCCUCCCCCAAGCAUGGUGGGAAGACUUGAAAUUCAGAGACAGCUGACUGAACACAGUGUCCUCUACCAGCUGCUGUGUGAUCUGCUACCAAAGCCUUGCGCUCUCUGUGCCCUAAAUAAUACAAAUGCCUACGCUUGGAUCCGGGGGAGUGUGGGGAAUUGAAAAAAAAAAAAAAAAAGAAAGAACGGGAAUUUAUUCAGUCCACCUUAAAUGUUUUUUCCCCUUGAUGAGGCUUGAAUCCAGGGCUUUGCACACAGUAAGCACGAAUGUCUUCCAGUGAACUAAGCCCUGUCCCAGACUCAUUUCUUAAGUGCCUAUCUCAAUCAUUCAUCCAUCAUCCUUUAACACUUUUUGGACUGCUAAGGUGAGGGACCUGGGAAUUGUUAGAACUGUCCAGUUUAAAUAAAGCCUGCUGGAAUACAUCGUUACCAUUUCUUUGCUGUCACUGCUUAAAGCAGUGUUCUCAGAUUUGAGCUGGAAAAUAGCUGAGAACUUCAUUGAAAAGCUCUAAAAGUUAUUUUUUAACGAAUUAAAUUUUUUUUUUGUUCGCUUUUCGAGACAAGUGCUUCUCUGUGUACCCCUGGCUUCUUCUGGAACUCACUCUUAUACAUGCCCAACUGGAAACAAGUGGAUGUUCAAAGGAGAAGCAGCCAAUCCUGGUACACUUGGGGGAGCAUUUAUACAUGAAGGAAGCCUGAAACCUUGGAGAAAGAGGCAGACAACAAAUUAGAGAUUAUCAUUGAGGGCUGGGACAAGAGCCUUCUCCAGCACCCCCAGGAAGGACUCCAUCUCCUGUCAGAGAUGACCAGUUUCCUGGCAGCUAAAGGCACCUGUCAACAUAUCCAAAGGUAAAUGCUGAUCAUGGCCUACUUGACAGUGAUUACAGACUCAAAUAAAAAGUUGAAAAUCAUGGAGCAGCUGUCCCUGACAAGAAAGGCAGCCGGACCUCCAGACUGUCCUUAUAGGGAGAGAGAGCAUUGACCAUUUCUCUCAGGAUGCUUGCGCCUUCAGGAACCCCUGAGGCCCCUCAGGCAUGAAUCUUAGAACAGAUAAAACCAGACCAUACUAGACCCUAUGAAUUUGCUGCUGUUUGGGAAAGCAAAAGUGUAAGUUGAAGGACUUUGGAGACCUGCUCUGGAAACCUAAUGUAUUGAGGUUUUAGAAACCGAGACAGAGAAACCAGAGGAAGGAAGCCUCAUCUAUGCAUGGCUGUCAUGUUUAAGCAGUGAUCCCUCCUGAAAUGGGUACUAUCACUUUCCAGCGCCCAGAGAGAAUGGUUUCUCAAGGUUCCCAGCCAUACUCUAACCUCACCAAGCAAAAGGGCAGAGGGGAAAGGAAGAGGAGAUGGAGGCGGGCUAUCCCCUACAGACAAGACUCCCAGAUGUCAUGCUUUCUCUGCCCUUGACCUUGGCUCCCUCUUCUGAGGCCAAUAGCAGCUAAUCAUGUGACAGGAGAGGAGGGAGUGAUGAGGGUAGUAGUCACAGGGGUGAUGUUUGUUAAGGGGAGUGGACCUUAAAAUAAACUUAUUAAAGUACGUAGGAUACACAGAAAAACAGCUCAGAGAGGCCCUUGCCUCGGUAGGAGGAACCCUACCAGUCAGUGAAGGGAGGGUGAAUGUUUUACCAUUUACACUAAACGUUUUGGUGUCUUCUGAAUUUUGUACCACGUGAUCUCUAGCCUAUUUAACAAUAAAGGUGUUGUAUUUCUGGGGAAAACAAUUGUGGAAGAAUGUGUAAAUUUUGUGUGUGUGUGUGCAAAAAUAUUUUGCUUUUUGUUUCCACUACCCAACAGCAAAGCGCUGGUUGUUUGACAUGCCAAGGCUACAUCAGGGCACAGUCAUGGAGAGGGUGCUGGAAGGGUGCCCUGCCUCAAGCCCUCUUAACCCUCACUGGAAACUCACAUGGUUGAAGGGUGGAACAGGAAACAGAGCUUUGGAUGAGGAUAAAAGAGAAAGGAAAAUGGCCACAGUCACCUCGGGGGCAGGAACGAUGUUUUCCUGACAUAGCUGGUCCAGCCCCGUGGUGGGAGAAGCCAGUGGGAGAACUUCGGUGCCCAGGCCUCAGUGGGAACUCACAUUCAGGCAGCGACAUCGCCUGAGAACUCAGCUCUUUUGGCUUUCCAGUUCAUCCCUGAGACACCAGAAACUUGAUCUGUGCCCAGAGCGCUCCACCUCCUGGUGACAUUUCAAGAACAGAGCCGCUGCUGGGCUGCCCAGUGCUCUGGCGACCUUCUAGCGUAGCUCGGAUGACACAUCACAGGAUUUCCUCAACUGCGCCCUGGCGUCCUGCUGGGAUGGCUUUUUCAUUUUUUCCAUGGGACACGCAUCCAUUGCAUCUCGGUACAAACAGGCUGUCCAGCGGUGCCUCUGUAAACACGAGUCACGUGUGGAGUUAAA